AGCGGCUGUGUCGUGGUCGAGUGG
rnacentral:siRNA from 1 species